rnacentral:rRNA from 1 species
AACUCUGGUAUUGAUUGGUGCUUGCAUCAUGAUUUACAUUUGAGUGAGUGGCGAACUGGUGAGUAACACGUGGGAAACCUGCCCAGAAGCGGGGGAUAACACCUGGAAACAGAUGCUAAUACCGCAUAACAACUUGGACCGCAUGGUCCGAGUUUGAAAGAUGGCUUCGGCUAUCACUUUUGGAUGGUCCCGCGGCGUAUUAGCUAGAUGGUGGGGUAACGGCUCACCAUGGCAAUGAUACGUAGCCGACCUGAGAGGGUAAUCGGCCACAUUGGGACUGAGACACGGCCCAAACUCCUACGGGAGGCAGCAGUAGGGAAUCUUCCACAAUGGACGAAAGUCUGAUGGAGCAACGCCGCGUGAGUGAAGAAGGGUUUCGGCUCGUAAAACUCUGUUGUUAAAGAAGAACAUAUCUGAGAGUAACUGUUCAGGUAUUGACGGUAUUUAACCAGAAAGCCACGGCUAACUACGUGCCAGCAGCCGCGGUAAUACGUAGGUGGCAAGCGUUGUCCGGAUUUAUUGGGCGUAAAGCGAGCGCAGGCGGUUUUUUAAGUCUGAUGUGAAAGCCUUCGGCUCAACCGAAGAAGUGCAUCGGAAACUGGGAAACUUGAGUGCAGAAGAGGACAGUGGAACUCCAUGUGUAGCGGUGAAAUGCGUAGAUAUAUGGAAGAACACCAGUGCCGAAGGCGGCUGUCUGGUCUGUAACUGACGCUGAGGCUCGAAAGUAUGGGUAGCAAACAGGAUUAGAUACCCUGGUAGUCCAUACCGUAAACGAUGAAUGCUAAGUGUUGGAGGGUUUCCGCCCUUCAGUGCUGCAGCUAACGCAUUAAGCAUUCCGCCUGGGGAGUACGGCCGCAAGGCUGAAACUCAAAGGAAUUGACGGGGGCCCGCACAAGCGGUGGAGCAUGUGGUUUAAUUCGAAGCUACGCGAAGAACCUUACCAGGUCUUGACAUACUAUGCAAAUCUAAGAGAUUAGACGUUCCCUUCGGGGACAUGGAUACAGGUGGUGCAUGGUUGUCGUCAGCUCGUGUCGUGAGAUGUUGGGUUAAGUCCCGCAACGAGCGCAACCCUUAUUAUCAGUUGCCAGCAUUAAGUUGGGCACUCUGGUGAGACUGCCGGUGACAAACCGGAGGGAGGUGGGGAUGACGUCAAAUCAUCAUGCCCCUUAUGACCUGGGCUACACACGUGCUACAAUGGAUGGUACAACGAGUUGCGAACUCGCGAGAGUAAGCUAAUCUCUUAAAGCCAUUCUCAGUUCGGAUUGUAGGCUGCAACUCGCCUACAUGAAGUCGGAAUCGCUAGUAAUCGCGGAUCAGCAUGCCGCGGUGAAUACGUUCCCGGGCCUUGUACACACCGCCCAUCACACCAUGAGAGUUUGUAACACCCAAAGUCGGU